UGCCCAGCAACUCCUAUCCCUACCACCUCGCGGUACUGGCCGGGGUACGAGUAACCUUAGGGAAGAUCGGGUAACCAACCCCCGGUGGGAACUUUGGUCGUAUGCUGACAGGGAAGG
rnacentral:ribozyme from 1 species